rnacentral:RNase_P_RNA from 1 species
GCGGAUGGCUGGAUGAUCGCGGGCCGGUAACGGGUCGAGGAAAGUCCGGACUCCAGUAAAGCACGGUGCCGGGUAACGCCCGGCGGGGGCAACCCCAGGGAAAGCGCCACAGAAAACAGACGGCCUUGCAUGCAGGGUCAAGGUGAAACGGUGGGGUAAGAGCCCACCGCGCGACGGGCAACCGAAGCGGCACGGCAAGCCCCACCGGGAGCAAUGCCAAAUAGGGAUCGCGUGCCUUCGGGCGGGGUGGCUUGCACCCCAGCAGAUCCGGGUUGGCAGCUAGAGGCACGUUGGCAACAGCGCGUCCAGAUGAAUGAUCAUCCAUCCGUGGCAACACGGGGGACAGAAUCCGGCUUACAGGCCAUCCGCGCAC